UACGGGGGGGGCAAGCGUUGUUCGGAAUUACUGGGCGUAAAGGGCUCGUAGGCGGCCCACUAAGUCCGACGUGAAAUCCCCAGGCUUAACUUGGGAACUGCGUCGGAUACUGGUGGGCUUGAAUCCGGGAGAGGGAUGCGGAAUUCCAGGUGUAGCGGUGAAGUGCGUAGAUAUCUGGAGGAACACCGGUGGCGAAGGCGGCAUCCUGGACCGGCAUUGACGCUGAGUGAGCGAAAGCCAGGGGAGCAAACGGG
rnacentral:rRNA from 1 species